rnacentral:rRNA from 1 species
GACGAACGCUGGCGGCGUGCUUAACACAUGCAAGUCGAACGGAAAGGCCCUGCUUUGGUGGGGUGCUCGAGUGGCGAACGGGUGAGUAACACGUGAGUAACCUGCCCUUGACGUUGGGAUAACUUCAGGAAACUGGGUCUAAUACCGGAUAGGAGCUCCGGCUGCAUGGUGGGGGUUGGAAAGUUUCGGCGGUGGGGUAUGGACUCGCGGCUUAUCAGCUUGUUGGUGGUGUAGUGGCUUACCAAGGCUUUGACGGGUAGCCGGCCUGAGGGGGUGACCGGGCACCUUGGGACUGAGAGACGGCGCAGUCUCCUACGGGAGGCAGCAGUGGGGAAUAUUGCACAAUGGGCGGAAGCCUGAUGCAAAGACGCCGCGUGCGGGAUGACGGCCUUCGGGUUGUAAACCGCUUUCGCCUGUGACGAAGCGUGAGUGACGGUAAUGGGUAAAGAAGCACCGGCUAACUACGUG